GACGAACGCUGGCGGCGUGCCUAAUACAUGCAAGUAGAACGCUGAAGGAGGAGCUUGCUCUUCUGGAUGAGUUGCGAACGGGUGAGUAACGCGUAGGUAACCUGCCUGGUAGCGGGGGAUAACUAUUGGAAACGAUAGCUAAUACCGCAUAAGAGUAGAUGUUGCAUGACAUUUACUUAAAAGUUGCAAUUGCAUCACUACCAGAUGGACCUGCGUUGUAUUAGCUAGUUGGUGGGGUAACGGCUUACCAAGGCGACGAUACAUAGCCGACCUGAGAGGGGGAUGGGGCACACUGGGACUGGGACACGGCCCAGACUCCUACGGGAGGCAGCAGUAGGGAAUCUUCGGCAAUGGACGGAAGUCUGACCGAGAAACGCCGCGGGAGUGAAGAAAGUUUUCGGGUCGUAAAGCUCUGUUGUAAGGGAAGAAAGAGUGUGAGAGUGGAAAGUUCACACUGUGACGGUACCUUACCAGAAAGGGACGGCUAACUACGUG
rnacentral:rRNA from 1 species